UAGCUUAGUUGGUAAAGAAUCUGCCUGCAAUGCAGGAGACCCAGGUUCAAUUCCUGG
rnacentral:tRNA from 1 species